UGGAGUAUCUUUUUAACAGCUUGGUAAAGUGAAUGUAGCUUGUGAUUUCUGUUUAGGCUUAUUGCUUCUGCCCCAACAGGUCAUCAAGGUAAGCAUUUUAAUUAUCAUGCAUGUUGCAUCUGACACUUCAGAAAUGUUUCCCCUUAGUAAAUAGUGUGAAUACCACCUUCCAGGGAUGUUUUCAUUUUUUAGUGGCUUUGGUCUCUUGAAACACCAUUCCAGGUACAGAAAGUAAGUGGGACUGAUGAAUGAGAAGUGGCUAAGAAGGGGCUCGUGGAGGUGAUGCUUUACUCUAGGUGCCCCUGCGUGGUGCUGGCUCCAUAAAAUAUUUACAAGCAGAAGAACGUCUCUUGGCCAGACGUAUUAUAAUUGCUGCAUAUCUUAUUAGCCCUGGAUUAAUUUGAUUGCCUUGAGAGGAUGCCUGUAAGAAUAACCCCUGAGAGCCCUUAAAUGCUGAAUUUCUAUCUUUUUACAAAAAUGAUCUGUUUAUUUAGUGGAAGUGACAUUAUUUCAGAAAUAAGUAGCUAAAUUUCUGCUUUCCCUGAGGAAGAAAUCUGAUAUUUAAACAAAGAGUUGAGGUAUUAAAAGAUUCUGCUGUGGUAUUUAUUAAUACAAAGAUUCCUGUAGUGAGCCUUUGUGAACCUGAUAACAAAAUAAUCCAGAGAAUUGCAGUUGGAAAAGGUCACAAUUAAGUGAUGGAUUUUUUUGAGACAGGUGGUUGGAUCCCUUACAGGCAGGCAUUUCUGCCUUUUUCUACCCCAGUCUUUUGUUUUUUUAAAUAGCCCAUUUCUUUUCCUUUGAGAACAAGGAGGGAACUUAUCUGCGAAGCUUCUCUAUAUAUUUGCAACUGUUAAUCACCCUGCCUGUCUUUGACAGUAGGCAACAUCUUGUUUCCUACAUCUUUGAUUAUUUACUUGCUGUCAACUGGGAUGCAGUUAGACCUAUAUUCCAAGCACAUUCCUGCUGUAACUGGGUUUUGGCAUCUCACUUACCCUGCCUGGGCCUCAGAUUCUCCAUCUAUCAAGUGAUAGGUUGGGGUGAGCUAUCCCCUCAUUGAUAGACAGGGCCCUAGGUUUGUUGGUAUUUGACCCUGAUAGUCAGGCACAUGCUUCAGUACCACUGAGCCAUGUGGGAUUUUGUUGCUAUGUGAUUUUGAUUAUUCUUUAUUGAAGCACAAUAUUCCUACUUCCAGAGCAAAGUCCAUUCAUUUAUUCAUCUCAUGUUAUGUAUGCUAGGGAAUAAAGAUGAACCAACACAGUCCUGGUCCUCAAGGAGCUUAGCAUGAAUGGAGUCCUCUUCCUACCCCAGCCCAAUUGCAUCUUGGCGUUUCUAGCUGGACCACAGAGUGGCCUCCCAGAAGCCGAGCAGGUCAACAUGGCAUGCAGCCUCUGCUCUUUGCGAGGGAACAUAUAUCCUCUCUCUUCCUUACCUGUACAUCCUUUCUCUUGACAUAUCUGCUAGCAUCUCUUUCUUAAUUCCAGGGCUUCUUUUCCCUAGUGCCUCCCUUUAAUGUUCUUCACCCACAGGAAGUGCCCUACAACUACAGAAUACUGGGGUGGGAGGGGAUCAUCUGAUACCAGAAUCCAUGUGUUAAAGUCAGGGAACCGAGAUGCAGAGAGGUUAGUGAGCAGUGGUAGCACUGGGUCUGGAAGUCAGAGUUCCUGAAUCCUCCUGAAUCCUAGCCUGGGAUUCUCACCAACUUUGCUGGCUUUGGGAUUUCACCCUAUUCUGCUUUUGCAUUAUCCCAGAGGUGAGGAGAUUAGACUCACUUUGAAUUACUGUUUCUGUUCAGUGAACCUCCUGUCCUCUGUAUGGGGAAGAAAUGAAGUCCUGAAAGCCUGCCUCCUGAGGCCAUGGUGGGGGUGUGAUAAAGUCCAAAGAGCACAUCCCAAGGCUUACGCGGCUCCCAAGGAUUCUUAUUUCACUUACUAUGGUAGACUUUCCCUUCCCCGUUUUCUGCAAGAAGGCUUGGGAAGAAUGCAGCGCAGGUGGGCCUGGGAAAACUGUCAGGUAGCAGAGUUCGUUUCUAAUCCCUGAGCUGCCUUGCAGUGGCUGCUCCUGCCUGUUCUUCCCCUUCUCUAACCCGCUCCCAGUCCCAUCCCGCCCAGAGCUCAGCCUUCCCAGGUCACACUGUGUCCUGCAGCCCUCCCUGCCUCCUCUCCAGAAGUUCAGUGUUUCUCUCAUGCAUCCCCACUCACUCCCCUCCCUGCUGCUAUUCAUGAUAUUGUAGCUUUCAGUGUGUUUUCAUAAAUGUCAUAUCGUUUAUUUCCUUCAAGACUCUCAUGUGGCAGAGAAGACAGCUAUUAUGUUCUCCAUUUAAGAAAAGGCUUUACUGAGGCUCAGUGAGUUGAGUGACCACACAGCGGGCAUAAGGAUGGACACGUGUCCAGGGCUCUGACUCUAGAUCUUGAGCUCUGCCCCCAACACUAUGUGGAUUCCCUUCCUGUGCCUUGUCCCAUUCUCUCUCCUGCUGCUGACCAUGCUAUCGUGAUGAGAAAGUCUUAUGCCUCCAGGGAACUUUGUUAACAGAUGUGUAAUUUUGAAGAUACAUAGAGAGGACGUGGCUUAUAUCCAGCACUUUAACAGACUUACGAAAUAGAUGUUCUUCAGAUCAGCCUUUCGAUUGUUCAUGUCAUACACAUUUCCCCCUGUACAUAAGGCCAUCCAUUUAGUCAAAGAAUCAAGUAAGUUCAAAAGGCAGUGGAUUAAAAUCAUAGAAGCAAAGGGAUGAACAGGUAGAUUGAAGAGGAAGGGUAGAAGAGGGGAAAAGUCCUAGCCUGCCACUUAUCCAGAACACGCAGAAACUGACAUGGACAUUAAACCAGAGGCACUGAGGGUAACUGAGUGUUUACAGUGCCGGGCUCACACCUUAUCUCAUGACUCCUCUUAAAACCCUGUUCAUCUGGUAUUAAAGUUGUCAUUUUCUUUUUACAUUUGACAACACUGAGACACAGGUGAAGAAGCUUGCCCAAGGUCACACACCUAAUACAUGGUGGAGUCAAACUUGAAAGAUGGUCUCCUGACCCCCAUCUCUACCUGAAGCUUCAUGGUGGUGCACAUCAGGAGGCUGGGAGCAUCUUGAAUCUCUUCACAUCAUCCUGAGGAUGGCUGUGUCACUUGCAGAGCCUUCUAGAAAAUGACUUCUCUUGACAACAUUGUUUCAGGUGCUAAUGUCAAUUGAAGAAAAAUGAUUAUUUCUCUGACACUGUUUCUUUGAUCCCUCAUUAAAAUCUAUUUCAACUAAUUCGGAAACAUGAGAGAAAGCAGAAUGUUAAGAGUGAGAAGAAAUAUGUAAUAUGUCAUGUUAGAAAUGCAUAUUUUAUUCAGCUUUUUUCCUGAGCUGGUUUUAAAAAAAUAAAAUAAAAUAAAUGCCAAAAUCUGUUGACUAAGCUUCACAAAAGUUUAGGACUGAAGGCUUCCUUACAGUUUGAAAAUUUUACAUUUCACAUUCCAAAGUUCACUGGGGAAGUGUUAAGCGCAGCGGAUAAUGUUUCCUCUGCACAUGCCAGAAGUAUUUUCAAAAGUUUAUAAACUAGCCAGGAAGCAUUUGCUGCUGAAAUUUGGCCCAUGAAGAUCUUCCCCCAAACCACUGAUAUCUCCCAAAUUACAUAGUUGUCAAAUUUUAGGAGAUCCACACAAAAUAGUUUUGUGAAUAACUAUUGUUCCAUAGGCAAAUCUUGCUUAUAAUCUUUCCAACUUAAUGGCGUUCCCUGGUUCCUUAAGAAGAGAGUGUGGAGGAGAAAGUGCGUCUGAAGGAAGGUGGAAUUGUUUCUCGGGACUGUGAUCUUUUCUAGAUCAUAAUUCACUCAGUCUUGCUGCAUUUCUCCUGGAGUGUGUGGGGGCCUGUGUAGCUAACUCCCUAGGAGGGGCAAAACCCAUUAUGAUAUUAGAACUUGUAGACUCUCAUAUGUUCAUAGAAAAAAGAUGACAACAUAAAGGGCCAUUCUUCUAUCCUUUUACUGAACUUAUUUUUCUGAUCUAGAAAUCAUGACAUUUUAAGGCUGGCAAGGGCCUAUCAAGAAGGGCCUAUCAAAUGCUAUGGCAGUAUUUCUUUCUGAACCUGUGAGCGAAGGACUGCAGCCGGGAUUACCUCUGGGGCUUGUAGAACAUAUUAAUUCCUUCUUCCUACCCCAAGCCACUGAGCUAGACUUAGUGGGACCUGGAAAUCUGCCUUUAUCAUAAGCUUUCUAGCUAAUCCUAUGCUGACUACGUGCAAGAGCUAGUCCUCCAGUGGACCUAGUUUCCCUGUCUUUAUUUCUAUGUCACUUCCUCUUGGGCCUCACCCCAGCACCUCCUGAGAAUUAUUGCUCUUACCCUCCACUUGAAAACCCUUUAGUCCAUAGUGUCUCUUUGUAGUAUUACUACUUCCAGCAUGUCAGUCUCUCUCUCCUUGCAGAGUCAGGACUAUCCCUCCAUCUUGUGUCCCUGGCAUCUGGCACAGUGCCUAGUACAUGAUGAAGCUCAUUAAGUGUUUGCUGAAGGAAUAAAGGAAGCAAUCAACCAGCUUCAUGGCCAAGAGAGCCCUUAGUUGACUUGCUGGAGCAGCAAAGCCAGCAUUAGGCCCUGCAUCUCCCGACCCUCCUCUGGUUUAUGUUUGUGCAUUGUGCUGCUGCUCAGAGACUAAUUCAUUUGCACAGGCAUUUGUCAAUCUGUUUACUAGUUUUAUUUAUUUAUUUAUUUGCUUCUCUGGAUUGUGUUUGCAUGAUAAACCAUACCUCUGUUCUUCCUUUAGUGCUACACCCAACAAAACACAGAAAACAUUUUAAAAAGACAGACAAAAUAUACAUGUAGGCAUACAAUGUUCUUUAACACUGCCUGGCAGUGUUCCUUGGGAUUCUAAGAUUCCAGAUGCUCUGCUUUUUCUCAUCAAGGCCACACAUACUGAGGCUCAAGUCUUGACAGAGGAGGAUUAAGAAGCAUAGUUCAUAAAUCUUUGUAGUCCAUAGGUCCCCUAAAUUUUUGUUCUUACAGAUGGCCUUGUUUUUUUCCUCUGUGGAGAGAGUAGAGGAUAAGGAAACUGACAUGCCCCAGACACCUUUGGGUAGCCAGGCCCUGUGCUAAGGGCUGAUGUUCUUGAGCUCACUUUGUCCGCACUGCAAUAAGAGCUUCUUAGCUCUGUUUGAGGUGCAGGGCACUGAGGUCUCAGAGCAGAUGCAUGAUCUGAACCUGGGCUUUCCGGAAGGCCGUGUUGACUCCAGAACCUCUGAUGUGCAAAAGGAGGUGGUGACUGCAGCUGCUGCCCGUGGAACGUUCAUGUGUUCUGCCCUCUCCAGGGCUCCCCAGCACCACCUCUAGUCUUGCUCUCCAGUUUGCAUUUUGACAGCACUGCAUAGAGACUUUCUUAGUGUCUCAUAGGGACUUCUCAUCCCAUCAGGCCCCAUCCUCAAGAAUGCCCUGUUGACACUGUCAAAGGAUCAACUCCAAUAUUAGCUUUUUUUCCAGCAGGACACGGCAUUGUUUUUGUUUGAUUUGUGGAAUUUCUUUCUAAGAUCCCAGAAGAGAAACAUGGAAGAAGGAAAGUCUCAGUAGUCAAGGUUAUACAGUUGGAUUCCCUGAGUGGGCCCAGGCUCACACAGCUUCUGCUGCGUGGUCACA